UCCUAGUUAACCUAGGCAGUCUCACUAGAGUCCCCACCAUAACGUGUUGGCAACUAAUGAUAAGGGUUGCGCUCGUUGCUGGACUUAACCAAACACCUCACGGCACGAGCUGACGACAGCCAUGCAGCACCUGUACAAAGGCCCUUGCGGGCGUUAACAUUUCUGCUAACUUCCUCUGUAUGUCAAACCUGGGUAAGGUUCUUCGCGUUGCAUCGAAUUAAACCACAUGCUCCACUGCUUGUGCGGGCCCCCGUCAAUUCUUUUGAGUUUCACCCUUGCGAGCGUACUCCCCAGGCGGUAUACUUAUCGCGUUCGCUUCGACACAGUCAGGGUUGAGCCUAACUACAUCAAGUAUACAUCGUUUACGGCAAGGACUAC
rnacentral:misc_RNA from 1 species